rnacentral:rRNA from 1 species
GGUCCUUCGGGGCCUGACCUCCCACCCUUUGCGUACAUACCUCUGUUGCUUCGGCGGAUUCCCGGGACCUGUGUUUGGAUGCCUGAAACAGGCUUCUGGGCGUCAGGGUGCCGGCCCGUCGGAGGCCUUGUAUAUUCUGAUUAUCAGUGACGUCUGAGUGUGACCCGAAUAAAGCAAAACUUUCAACAACGGAUCUCUUGGCUCUGGCAUCGAUGAAGAACGCAGCGAAAUGCGAUAAGUAAUGUGAAUUGCAGAAUUCAGUGAAUCAUCGAAUCUUUGAACGCACAUUGCGCCCUCCGGUAUUCCGGGGGGCAUGCCUGUUCGAGCGUCAUUACACCUCUCAAGCUCAGCUUGGUAUUGGGCAGUCGUCCCCCGUGGGCGGGCCUGAAAUUCAGUGGCGGUGCAGCCGGUGCUCAAGCGUAGUAGAACUCUUAACCCCGCUUUGGAGUCACCGGGUGGGCCCGCCAGAUAACCCCUUUUGAUUUCCACGAUUGACCUCGGAUCAGGUAGGGAUAC